rnacentral:lncRNA from 1 species
GUUACAAUAACUUCCAGUGAAUUUGCCCGCUAGGCGCUAGUUAACGUUAGCAGACGUUGGCUAGGCGCUAGUUAACGUUAGCAGACGUUGGCUAGGCGCUAGUUAACGUUAGCAGACGUUGGCUAGCUAGCUAGCAUAUUUUAGCCAGCAACGUUAAGGCUAUAGCUUAUUCGUAGACAGUAAUAUAGUGCAAGGACUGACAUUGGAUACAGUAGCUCAGGACAACGCAUGUUUAUAGGAAAAGUUACUUUGAAAAACGUGUUAGACCGCUCAAAGAUCGGCGUCCUCCCAUGACAAGUACUAACGUUAGCCAUCCAGUUCAACCUACAAUCAAAACAAACUUUUGAUGUCUGAUGAAGAAGAUGCUCCGGGCUGACCUCCAGGCCAAUAAGAACGGGGUGUCCAUCAGGCGGAAUACAGGUCCCUGACCGAAAGCUGGGCUACCCUUCACUGGAGUGCUUCCUCCCAGCAUCCCCUCUGUGGUCAGGAUGGAGAAUUGCAUUGGGGAGAUAAUGUGCCUCGCUGCAGUCUGUCAAGAAACGGCCCACAUCGCUCAGCUGGUCGCCCGUCAGAAGUCCAGCAAGAGGGCGCCUGGCAGCUCCCAGAUGCUGAACUGUCAGAUGACGUCGAAAUUGGCUUCAAACUUUGUGUUCUAUGGUAGGUCUCGUCUGUCCUUGUCACAGUCAGUGUCAUCUGACAAUGGCUCUUUUUCUGAAUGUGUCUUU